CCAUGGGGUAGCAAUGGGUGUUCGGAGCCCUAUAGCGCAUCAUGUGUUUGGCGAAAUGUAGGAGAGUUCGGUUUCGUCCACCGAAUUUUCUUAUAUUUCGUCAAAUGCAUGAAUCGGCUAUGUAUCAAAUGACGAGAUAUAACAAAAUUCGGUGGUGCACUGUGGAGCGUGCGGUUUCGAUUUCUAAGGAAACCAGGUUUACUACCGGGGGUCGCCGGGAGAGGGUUUGUGCACUGCGGAAGUACAGAAUGUGUGAUUGAGGAGUGUGUAGUCGCCGAUUGAGACGGCACAAAUAGGGUUUCUAAACAAUACAUGUCAGCGUUUAUUGUUAAUUACA
rnacentral:lncRNA from 1 species